GCCGGCUUAGCUCAGUUGGUAGAGCAGCGGUUUUGUAAACCGAAGGUCGCGGGUUCGAUCCCUGCAGCCGGCACCA
rnacentral:tRNA from 1 species